UACAGAGGGUGCAAGCGUUGUUCGGAAUCAUUGGGCGUAAAGCGCGUGUAGGUGGGCAGGUAAGUCGGGUGUGAAAGCCCCGAGCUCAACUCGGGAAUUGCGCCCGAAACUACUUGUCUUGAGUACGGGAGAGGGAAGCGGAAUUCUUGGUGUAGGGGUGAAAUCCGUAGAUAUCAGGAAGAACACCGAUGGCGAAGGCAGCUUCCUGGACCGAUACUGACACUCAGACGCGAAAGCGUGGGGAGCAAACAGG
rnacentral:rRNA from 1 species